UGCUUCUUCCUGCUAAGAAUGAAGCACAUAUUAUCUAGGUGACACUCUAGAGAUGAACUCUUCUCCAGGCUUCGUGACUGUGGUACUCUUGAUGCUUGGACGAACCCAUGGAGAUGGAGACUCAGUGACCCAGAUGCAAGGCCCAGUGACCAUUCCUGAAAGGAAGUCCUUGACUAUAAACUGUACUUAUUCAACAACAUGGACCCCCACUCUGUUCUGGUAUGUCCAAUAUCCCAGAGAAAGUCCACAGCUCCUCCUGAAAGCCUUGAGGGACAAGGAGAUGGGAAGUCACAAAGGUUUUGAAGCCACCUACGACAGCAAAUCCAAAUCCUUCCACUUGGAGAAGUCCUCAGUGCAAGCGUCAGAUUCGGCUGUGUACUACUGUGCCCUGAGUGACACAGUGACAGGGACUGCAGGGGGAGCUGAGCACAAACUCUGAGCAGAACAGGAGCCCAGAUG